UCUAUCCUUAUAACUGCAUUAGGAGGUCUUGGAAAAGAAUAGGGUGGUCAGGAAAGCCACCUGCUAAGAAUUCAUCUGCAGUUGGAAAAGGCCUCUGCCACACAGCAGUCAGUCACCUACAAUGAAUGUUACUUGUCAUUGUCGAAGUGCUCCAAAUAGCAUAAUAUCUACUCAUUUUCAGAAUCAGAGAAGCCUCAGUAAAUUGAAAAGGAACCAAGUUGAUGAUGAUGAUGAAGUACAGCA